rnacentral:rRNA from 1 species
CAGCAGCCGCGGUAAUACGGAGGGGGCUAGCGUUGUUCGGAAUUACUGGGCGUAAAGCGCACGUAGGCGGCUUUGUAAGUCACAGGUGAAAGCCCGGGGCUCAACCCCGGAAUUGCCUUUGAGACUGCAUCGCUUGAAUCCAGGAGAGGUGAGUGGAAUUCCGAGUGUAGAGGUGAAAUUCGUAGAUAUUCGGAAGAACACCAGUGGCGAAGGCGGCUCACUGGACUGGUAUUGACGCUGAGGUGCGAAAGCGUGGGGAGCAAACAGGAUUAGAUACCCCUGUAGUCCCUGUCUCUUAUAC